CGGUUGCUUACGUCCUCCAUCUGGUCAGAAGGGAAGUGCUGGCCCACUGCUCAGCAGCACCGUGCUCUGACACGAGGACACAGGGACACGGGGACAUAAGGACACGAGGACAUGAGGACACGGGGACAUGGGGACGAGAUGUGCUGCACAGCCUGAAAACAAGGAUGUGCUGGCAUGGAACCCACUGACCACCGCUGCUCAGACCGACUCAGACCCGUGUUCUGCAGCGGAAGCUGGGAUGUGUUUGAGGGACCUUUGCCGUUGCCACGCUGUUCCAUUUAUCAUUUUUUCAGGUGUCACUGCAGACACCUCCUGUGUCUUGGCAACUUACUGCACUGAAACACAUCAACCAGCACCUUGCCAGCAUUCAGCAACCACAGCGGGCCUGUGCUUCUCCAUGCAGGAAAUGAGAGGGGAACGCACUCUGCACCCAUUGCAAUGCUGUCUUCACUCUGCUAUCCAGGGAGCAGCGCCAGCCUCUAUUUUCAAGACCAAUUUCUCUAGGCGUCCCUGAGUCCUCCUCCAUCUAUUUUUAUUGACGCCUAUCAAGCUGGAAGGCAUUAGUCAUGUCAUUAGACUGGCACGUCCAGAAGCAGGAACAAAACAGCCAGAACAAUGAAAGUUCUCUCCCAAUAAAAAUGCCUGACCUGGAGAGUUUUCCAGUAAUAAUGCAAGAGCAAAAGCUUCCUGAGCAAUUCUGGCUUUGAAGUUGGCUCGUACAUCUUUUCAGCUGAUCUCUGCCAUGUGCAGUGAAAGCUGUCAGAGGUUCAGAGGCAGUUCCUGCCAACGUGCUUCUGAGCAGCGCGUGCAGCUCUUUGCCGCGCAGCAACGGGUGCUCCUUUGAAGGUGAAACCUCGUUAAAAUUAGAAGCAGCUCCAGCCACCGUCGUUCCUUUGUUUUGUUUUGUUUGUUUCAUCUGUGGAGAGCAGGGAAGGAAAGGAAGCCAGGCACGUGUGAGCUUUGGGAUGUUCCCACUCCUUCCCAUGAAAGCCCUAUCUGUGCAAAGCAGCAACAUUGCACAUUCAAAGGAGCGAUGGCCAAGGAGGCAGCAACAACAGUCGUUAAAAAAUCAAGCAUCACUGAAUGCCUUUGUCAAACAUCACCCGUUCCUCGUGCGCCCAGAAGCAGUGGGUUUCCUUGGAAACUACAGCAAUGCCAACAGGCAGCGGGACUGGUCCGUCAGGUGCAUGUUUGACCACUCCAGAUCUGCUGGUGUCCAGCUGGAUCCAUUAGAUAACCACAUUGCAACCCUAAGGGCUGUGCUGGCUUGUAGGGCUGUCAGGGCAUGCUGAGAGCUUCAGGAUGCCCCUCUGUUACAAGUUCAGCCCUCCAGCAACCCGAGCGAUGGGGCAGGGAGCUGGGCAGGUGAGCACAUCUCAUCUGAGGGCGCAGCUGCAACGCUGGGGUGGGAUGAAGGGUCAUGAGGGUUCCCCAAAUGUCCUCUGCAAAUGUCCUGUGCUGACAAGCCAGUCUGACACAUGGAGCUCAGGGUUUGUUUUCUGCUCUCUGACGCAGGUAAAGGUUUCGGGGGCUGCAUUUUAAUCCUGGGGGCUAAACCUGAAAGUGCUUAGGAGCUGCUGCAGUGACUUCUACAUUUUCCAUCCCAUCAGUAAUUUGGACUGCCUGAACCCCAGCUCCUUUGUAUGGCCUGGGAGCACAGAGGUGACCACACUUUGCAGUGACUCAGUGUGCUCAGGGAGGCAGCGAGCGCUGGGACCUGCUGCACAGACAGUCCCUCCCUCCCAGGCUUUUAGCCCCACAAACGAGGGCAACCAGAGAUAGUGCCCCAUGCCCAGCCCCACUGCAGCCCCAUGCAGAGCGGUGACACCAAGCUGGAUGUCUCCGAUUCCUACGCUUCAGCAUCUUUCUCUUGCAAAGACAGUGAUAACAAUAAUUCUAGCAUUACUACUGAUACUACUGCUGCCACUAUUACUCCACUCCCUUAACCCCUCUGUCACUUGUACCUCGUCCAGCUGCGUGCAAUGGGGAGCGGGGCUGUGUGCGGGGGGCUGGCAGGGCUGCACCCCCUGCGCCCAUCACACGCUGCACAAUGGGGAUCUCAUCCCGACUCUGGGCACAGCAGCAAAGCGAGUAAUAACAAUAACUUCUAGUCAGGGUUUUAAUGGUAAAGCAAGCCUCUCUCUCUCUGAAGAAUCCUUUAUAUGUUCCCUUGCUCUUUAUCUUUCACUUCCUUUAAACUAUGAUGGAAUUUAGGACUAAUGAAAAUGUGAGUCUGAGAGCAUUUACUGGAAGCCAGCUGCUCUUGCUUUUUCAUCUCUCUCUCUCCGGCCUGUCUUGUGAUCUGCCUUUUCUGUGUCCACCCAGCGAAAGCGAACACAUUUUUCUAGUGGAAGCUCGGUGCCUAAUCAGGGUUUGAGCAGGUUUGGGUCAUCCAUCUUCAUAUGGACAACAAGGUCAUAAAGUGGGCACUGCUUGCUUAUUUUCCUUCCCAAUAUCUUUUCUCAACAGUGAAUGGGAUCUUAAUAAAACAGAGCCUUUCUUUUUUUUUUUUAUUUUGGUCAUUUUUAGAGGGAGAAAUAAAGUACUGGUAGAAAAUAAAA